CAAUAGCGUAUAUUAAAGUUGUUGCAGUUAAAAAGCUCGUAGUUGGAUUUCUGGUGGGAGCGAUCGGUCUGGCGCUUAGCGCGAGUACUUGCAUCGUCUCCGGCCAUCCUUGGGGAGAGUCAGUCUGGCAUUAGGUUGUCGGGCAGAGGAUCCUCAUCGUUUACUGUGAAAAAAUUAGAGUGUUCAAAGCAGGCUUAUGCCGUUGAAUAUAUUAGCAUGGAAUAAUAAGAUAGGACUUUGGUACUAUUUUGUUGGUUUGCGCACCAAAGUAAUGAUUAAUAGGGACAGUUGGGGGUAUUCGUAUUCCGUUGUCAGAGGUGAAAUUCUUGGAUUUACGGAAGACGAACUACUGCGAAAGCAUUUACCAAGGAUGUUUUCAUUAA
rnacentral:rRNA from 1 species